GUGAGCAACCUGCCCUUCAGAGGGGGACAACAGUUGGAAACGACUGCUAAUACCGCAUAAGACCACGGUGUGGCAUCACACAGAGGUCAAAGGAGAAAUCCGCUGAAGGAUGGGCUCGCGUCCAAUUAGCUAGAUGGUGAGGUAACGGCCCACCAUGGCGACGAUUGGUAGCCGGACUGAGAGGUUGAUCGGCCACAUUGGGACUGAGACACGGCCCAGACUCCUACGGGAGGCAGCAGUGGGGAAUAUUGCACAAUGGAGGAAACUCUGAUGCAGCGACGCCGCGUGAGGGAAGAAGGUCUUCGGAUUGUAAACCUCUGUUGUCAGGGACGAUAAUGACGGUACCUGACGAGGAAGCCACGGCUAACUACGUGCCAGCAGCCGCGGUAAAACGUAGGUGGCAAGCGUUGUCCGGAAUUACUGGGUGUAAAGGGAGCGCAGGCGGGAGAGCAAGUUGGAAAGUGAAAUCUGUGGGCUCAACUUCACAAAUUGCUUUCAAAAACUGUUUU
rnacentral:rRNA from 1 species